rnacentral:rRNA from 1 species
CUGGGCGUAAGAGCAUGUAGGCGGGUAUUUAAGUCAGGAGUGAAAACUAUGGGCUCAACCCAUAGCCUGCUCUUGAAACUGGAUACCUUGAGGGUAUGAGAGGAAAGCGGAAUUCCCAGUGUAGCGGUGAAAUGCGUAGAUAUUGGGAGGAACACCAGUGGCGAAGGCGGCUUUCUGGCAUACAACUGACGCUGAGAUGCGAAAGCGUGGGGAGCGAACGGGAUUAGAUACCCCGGUAGUCCACGCCGUAAACGAUGGGUACUAGGUGUAGGAGGUAUCGACCCCUUCUGUGCCGUAGUUAACACAAUAAGUACCCCGCCUGGGGAGUACGGCCGCAAGGUUGAAACUCAAAGGAAUUGACGGGGGCCCGCACAAGCGGUGGAGCAUGUGGUUUAAUUCGACGCAACGCGAAGAACCUUACCAGGGCUUGACAUCCUCUGACGUCCUAAGAGAUUAGGAGUUUAGGAGCUUGCUCUUAACAGAGAGACAGGUGGUGCAUGGUUGUCGUCAGCUCGUGUCGUGAGAUGUUGGGUUAAGUCCCGCAACGAGCGCAACCCUUAUCUUUAGUUGCCAGCAAUUCGGUUGGGCACUCUAGAGAGACUGCCGGUGACAAACCGGAGGAAGGUGGGGA